UCUAGGAGUGGUGGCACGUGCCUGUAGUCCCAGCUACUCAGGAGGCUGAGGCGGGAGGAUCACGUGAGCCCAGGAGUUCUGGGCUGUAGUGCGCUAUGCCUGUCAGGUGUCCACACUAAAUUUGGCAUCAAUAUGGUGAUCCCUCAGGGGCAGGGGACUAGCAGGUUGCCUAAGGAGGGGUGAACUAGCCCAGGUCAGAAACAGAGCAAGCCAAAAUUCCUGUGCUGAUCAGUAGUGGGAUUGUGCCUGUAGACAGCCACUGAACUUCAGCCUGGGCAACAUAACAAGACCCCAUCUCU
rnacentral:SRP_RNA from 1 species